GCCCCGGUGGCACAAUCGGCUAGCGCGUGAGACUUUUACGCAAUUUGUUCUGCAUCAUAAUCUCAAGGCUGUGGGUUCGAGUCCCACCCGGGGCG
rnacentral:tRNA from 1 species